AUGUACAUGCAUAUAGCAUAGCGUUAAUGAAUUGAAUCCCAUUAAAACUCUACAAUUAAGCGUGCUCGGGCUAGAGUAGUACUGCGAUGGGUGACCGCCCGGGAAUUCAUAGUGUUUUACAUC
rnacentral:rRNA from 1 species